rnacentral:rRNA from 1 species
UACGUAGGGUGCAAGCGUUGUCCGGAAUUAUUGGGCGUAAAGAGCUCGUAGGCGGUUUGUCGCGUCGAAUGUGAAAACCCGGGGCUCAACCCCGGGCCUGCAUUCGAUACGGGCAGACUAGAGUUCGGUAGGGGAGUCUGGAAUUCCUGGUGUAGCGGUGAAAUGCGCAGAUAUCAGGAGGAACACCGGUGGCGAAGGCGGUUCUCUGGGCCUUACCUGACGCUGAGGAGCGAAAGCAUGGGGAGCAAACAGG